GGAGAGCUGGGACCCGCGGUCGCCGUCCGCGGUCCUGGGAAAGGCCGCGGAUAGAUCGGACAGUGAGGCUCCCUGUAGAGCUGUGGUUAAAUCAGUCUGCCCUGUGGCCACCCCGUAGGGCGUCCAGCUUUGUCCAGUAGGCUGCAGUGUCUGCUCAAUGCCGGGUGUAAAUAAAAAACUAUCGAAAUCAGCCAGGCUAAUGUUGCUUUCCAAAAUUAAGUGACUUGGGUGAUGUAGAAAUCGCGACUCAGAAUGUCUAGAAAGUAUGUUCGGAAUGCUUUCCAGAUCUCCACCCUUCAGCAAUUCGGUUUAUUCAAGGUUGAAACAGGGUAACAAGAUUUGUAACCUCUUAACCCUUCUACACCUCUACCAUCGACUCCCUGAUCUCGAAUCGUCAUGGAUUCGACCAUGAAGCAUUCACGAUGGAGCAAACUUUACCUUGAAUUCUUCCAAGAUGAAUUUGAGCCUGCGUGCUUGGGGGUAAAAACGUGGCUGACAUGUCUGAACAAAAUAUAUGGUCAUUUUCAUCUCUGACUGGAACUUGAAUUGGCUUCAGCAAGAACCAGCUCACACCUAAGUCAUCAGCAAGACUCUUGCAGAUUUCUUCUGGAGAGACAGAAAUAUCUGCAGCCAGGAGGACGGCUGUUGGAGGAAUUCAGGAGCAUUCAACGGAGUCUCCUGGAGUCGGGGAGUGGUCAGUUUUACACAUCCUCCUCAGGACCUCACAGGCAAGAACAGCAGGAUCUGCUUCCUUCAUGAAACCUUGGCUCUGUUCUAUCCAUCGACAGUCCUUCAGGAUACCUAACCUGUCCAGAAAUCAAGGCCUUUGCCUUCCCCACAGAGAUAACGCGGACAUGCCGAGGGAUCCCCUUUACAUCCUUGCUCUCAAGUGGAUUCAGUGUCACAGUUCAGGCGCUU
ensembl:antisense Gm9828 predicted gene 9828